rnacentral:rRNA from 1 species
GAUCAUGGCUCAGGACGAACGCUGGCGGCGUGCUUCAUACAUGCAAGUCGAACGCGAAUCGGUAGCUUGCUACCGAGGAAAGUGGCGGACGGGUGAGUAAUGUGUAGAGAAUCUGCCCUAGAGCGGGGGACAACAGCUGGAAACGGUUGCUAAUACCCCAUAUGAGCGUAUCUGAAAUGGUAUUCUUGAAAACUCCGGUGCUCUAGGAUGAGUCUGCAUCUGAUUAG